UCCUGACAUUGUGGCACCAUAUGAUUACAUAUUUAUCUGGGACGAAGAUUUGGGAGUGGAUAAUUUUGAUUCUGAAAAAUACGUUGAUUUGGUUAAGAAACAUGGUUUGGAAAUUUCACAGCCUGGUGUGGAUCCUAAUAGUCCGUUUACAUGGAAGAUGACAAGGAAAAGACAUGACAGUGAAGUUCACAAGAGCACAGAGGAGAAACCAGGAUGUUAAAUUUCAGUUAAAUUGUUCAAUUUUUGCUACAAAAAUGGAGAAUGAUUCUUC